AGAGAGUUCAAGAGAACGUGAAAUCGUUAAAGUGGAACCGGAGAGAGUUGACGAAGCAUCUGUGGUGAAGACUUUCGUGAUUGCUUUUGUGAUUUCGUUUGUUGGAUCUACUUUAGCUGCGUUGGUGGGGUUAUUGGUGUUAGUUGAAGCGUGUAGCGUUGCCCACUUCGGUGGUGUCUUGCUUGCGCGGAAACUGAUCACUGGUAGCUUUUAGCUUUGCUUGCAAAGUGCCAAUGUUCAAGUCGACCACCUUUCCGACCCGUCUUGAAACACGGACCGAGGAGUGUAGCUAGUGCGCGAGUCAAAGGGUGUUAAACCCCACGGCGAAAUGAAAGUAAAGGCCAGUUAACUGGUUUAACAUAGGAGUUGUUCUUUUGAGCAAUGCACUAUGGCCCUGUCUUGAAAGCUUGCUUUCGGGCAGAGGAAGAGCGUACUGGUUGCGACCCGAAAGAUGGUGAACUAUGCUUGAGCAGGACGAAGCCAGAGGAAACUCUGGUGGAAGUCCGUAUCGGUUCUGACGUGCAAAUCGAUCGAUAGACU
rnacentral:rRNA from 1 species